rnacentral:rRNA from 1 species
GGACAACCUGCCCUCGGGAGGGGGAUAACCCCGGGAAACUGGGGCUAAACCCCCAUAGGGGAUGGAUACUGGAAUGUUCCAUCUCCGAAAGUCCGCAAGGAGCCCGAGGAUGGGUCUGCGGCGGAUUAGGUAGUUGGUGGGGUAACGGCCCACCAAGCCUAAGAUCCGUACGGGCCAUGGGAGUGGGAGCCCGGAGAUGGACCCUGAGACAAGGGUCCAGGCCCUACGGGGCGCAGCAGGCGCGAAACCUCCGCAAUGCGGGAAACCGCGACGGGGUCAGCCGGAGUGCCGAUGCUUGCAUCGGCUGUCGGGGAGCCUAAAAAGCUCUCCAAGCAAGGGCCGGGCAAGGCCGGUGGCAGCCGCCGCGGUAAUACCGGCGGCCCGAGUGGCGGUCACUAUUAUUGGGCUUAAAGCGUCCGUAGCCGGGUUGGUUAGUCUCCCGGGAAAUCUGGCCGCUCAACGGUCAGAAUUCCGGGAGAUACUGCCAGCCUAGGGACCGGGAGAGGCCGAGGGUAUUCCCGGAGUAGGGGUGAAAUCCUAUAAUCCCGGGAGGACCACCUGUGGCGAAGGCGCUCGGCUGGAACGGGUCCGACGGUGAGGGACGAAGGCCAGGGGAGCAAACCGGAUUAGAUACCCGGGUAGUCCUGGCUGUAAACGAUGCGGACUUUGUGUCGGACAAGCUAUGAGCUUGUCCGGUGCCGGAGGGAAACCGUU